ACUCAAAUGAAUUGACGGGGGCCCGCACAAGCGGUGGAGCAUGUGGUUUAAUUCGACGCAACGCGAAGAACCUUACCUGGGUUAAAUCCCCCGGAAGACCGCAGAGAUGUGGUUGUGCCCUCUGGGAGCCGGGGAGAAGGUGCUGCAUGGCUGUCGUCAGCUCGUGUCGUGAGAUGUUGGGUUAAGUCCCGCAACGAGCGCAACCCUUGUCGUUAGUUGCUAACAGGUGAAGCUGAGCACUCUAACGAGACUGCCGACGUGAAGUCGGAGGAAGGUGGGGAUGACGUCAAGUCCUCAUGGCCCUUAUGCCCAGGGCUACACACGUGCUACAAUGGCCGGCACAAAGGGUAGCGAAGCGGCAACGUGGAGCCAAUCCCAAAAAACCGGUCCCAGUUCGGAUUGCAGUCUGCAACUCGACUGCAUGAAGUCGGAAUCGCUAGUAAUCGCGGAUCAGCACGCCGCGGUGAAUACGUUCCCGGGCCUUGCACACACCGCCCGU
rnacentral:rRNA from 1 species